CUGCAUCUAUUUGAUAUACUCACAACAGUUAAUGUCUACUGCUAAAGUUUCCACUACAGAUGCAAGAAAAAGUGUCCUCAUGCUGUCUGUCUGUCUGAUUGUGGCAGCCAAGAUUGAACGUUGGAAUACAGGA
ensembl:snoRNA